UACAAGAAAAUAUGUAGAUACCGACAGUCAAUUUGAGGCACAUGUAAAGGAACCGCCGCCGCUCUUGUCAAUCCCGACGGUUAUUGCGGCGUUCAUUCAACUGCCUUUGCUGUUUGUAACUCUCGGCGGUUUUACUAGGUAUCGCGCGGCGGUUCAUUCAACGAUGUAUAUUGUCGUUUGUUUUUAAGACUCACGCACGCAAUUUAUUUUCACGUUUCCUUCUUUCACUCAGUGAAAAUCAAUUGCUCUUCAAGACUCACACGUUUCCCUCUGUAGCUCCGAUUGCUCUCUCUCAACACAGUCUUUAUUAUGUUGAUCUGGUUCUUGCGAAUGUUAUAUUUGGUUCCUGUACUGCUUGUCGUCAAGUGUCGGCGAAGUUUAGUACAAGAAAUUUGUUAUGAUUUUGGUCAUGAUGUUUGUAGCCAAGGGGCAGUAGGAAGCAAGGGCCAGAGACAUGAUCGUGAGAGAAGAGGAUUGAGAGAAUCUUGAGUUAUUCAUGCAUCUGAUGACAAUGUUGAACUUGUCUUGUCAAUGCAGGUAAAAUCAUUGUUAACUCUGAUAGUAACCCAAUCCUCGUGAAGGAAAAAUAACUCAAGCAUCUUGGUAAUGGAGAUGUCAAUUCUCAUGUUUGUAAAGUGUGUUUGGAAUCUUCAACUGCGGCAAUUCUUCUUCCAUGUCGUCAUUUUUGUUUUUGUAAAUCUUGUUCACUUGCAUGCUCUGAAUGUCCUUAUUGAGUUGUUAUAUCCACAGUCACGGGUGCAAUUCUUUCAUUAGUUUACUUUUAUGCAACCUUUCAAAAGGUAAAUUGAUAACAUAUUCUUUCUUUUCGCUAGAUAACUGUAUAUGUAAGGGGAGACAAAAGGGUGGGAAAAAAGAAUGUAAAAAGGAAAAGGAUGUAAACCACAUUGCAGAAGUAAAUAUGCACAAUGUGUGUUGUUUCCAAUUUAUAUAUUUUUAAAUCAGUAGAUUAAACUAAGAAAAUUGUUAUCGUCUUUUCCAAUUUUUUGCAGUUUGUUCCACAUAGUCAUAUGGGCACUCCAUUCCGUAAACUGCAGGGUGACAACAAAUGUUAUAUUUAAACAUUUUCAUGUAAAGAUUAUCCAGGAAAAUAUCUCAUUUUUUUAUAGGCAGUGGAUAUAGAUACCUGUAUAAUGAGGAUGUUUGUUGGUCUUAUAAAUAUCUUUUAAUUUUGUUUUACAGACAUGGAAGCGGUUAUGUCCCUUGUUGGCUUUGACUUGUACAAUAAAGUGCUUCAUAGUCAUACAAGCCUAAUUUGGAUUUUCCAUUUCACUCAUAGGUCAAAAAGUUCUUUGAAAUGGCCUCCAAAUCGCUUUUAGACAUUUGGUCUUGUGUAAAUGUGUUUAUUAAAAGUAUUUGAAAAAGACAUCAUUUAGGCUUCAAUUGAUGCUCAAUGGUGAAUUUGGCCUCAAAGAUGCUAUCUAAAACCAUAUUUUUAUUGGCAUUUUGGUCGGAGGAAUAGUUUGGAGCUUGGUUCUGGACUUUUAAGUCGACAAAGAACUACACUUUACAAAGAGUGCACUAGACCAAAUGGACUGGAUUGAAAAAAUCACAGUGAUGUUGGUGCUCACAACAAAUUGAAUCAAGUGAUGGGAAAUUGAAGGCACUGAGAUUGAGUUCAUUAAUUAUAACAUAGGUAUCAAUUUUUUGUACUACUUAUUUGGAUUUAUUUUUUUUAGAUUGUUCCCUUGAAGUUUUGUUUGUGUUGAUGGAUUUAUUUGGUCUCGAUUGUUGGUGAACUUUAAGCUUGGUUAUCGGAGGAAAAUGCUUAAUUAAUGAACACAUAUGUUUUGUAGCACUGGAUAGGUGUAACUAAUGCUAUAUAAGGGGUUAGCUUAUGCUAUAUCUUUUAUUCGUGUCUUGGUUCUAUUUUAAGUUGUUUCUAUUGAUUAUUAAAUAACAAUGUGUAUCAAAUGAGGCAUAUGGACUUGAAUUAGUUUGCAUAAUUUAAAGAGGCUAGUGUGUUAAAUUCUCUGCACAACUUAUGUCAUUUUGUGAACGAUUGACUUAUUCUGUUUGACACUUCCAAAGCACCUUACUUAAGUUGCACGGGUUGAAGGGUGAGAGGCUUGGAGUUCACCAAUCUAAUGUAGAACGUAUUCUCUGUGACAUGGUUCAGGUAAAGGCACAUGGUGCUAAUGUAGUGGAAGUUGCCUAUCCUUAUUGUUUAUCAUGGUGAGGUUUAAAAAGUUGUAAUUAAUUUCUGAACGUUAUGAUUAUAGUCAAGUUUCUAUGAUUUUUCUUCAUGGUUGUUUCUAUUUUAUUUAAUUGAAGGCCAAAUUGUGAAGGUGGUUUAUAUGACGAUGAUGUGCACGUACACGCGGUUACAAGCAUUAAAGCUUGCUUUGGAAUUGGGGGCUGUUUUUUUUAUGGAAUUGGAUCUCAAGGUAUACCAACAGUAAUUCAAGUGUGAAAUUAGAUGAUCUAUAUAGUUGAUUUUUGUUGUCUAAGAGCUUAUAAGCAUCUUGUUUGUUUUGCUACACUUUUUAAUGUAAUAGUUUUAUGUUUAGUGUGUUAACUCAAAGCAAUUUUGAUGUAAACUUGUAUCAUUUUCUACAUGAAUUGUGAGAAUCAAUUACUUGAUAUGUUCAGUAAAAUAAUGUGUCUGCGA